rnacentral:rRNA from 1 species
AGACCCGAAACCCGGUGAUCUAGCCAUGGGCAGGUUGAAGGUUGGGUAACACUAACUGGAGGACCGAACCGACUAAUGUUGAAAAAUUAGCGGAUGACCUGUGGCUGGGGGUGAAAGGCCAAUCAAACCGGGAGAUAGCUGGUUCUCCCCGAAAGCUAUUUAGGUAGCGCCUCGUGAAUUCAUCUCCGGGGGUAGAGCACUGUUUCGGCUAGGGGGCCAUCCCGGCUUACCAACCCGAUGCAAACUGCGAAUACCGGAGAAUGUUAUCACGGGAGACACACGGCGGGUGCUAACGUCCGUCGUGAAGAGGGAAACAACCCAGACCGCCAGCUAAGGUCCCAAAGUCAUGGUUAAGUGGGAAACGAUGUGGGAAGGCCCAGACAGCCAGGAUGUUGGCUUAGAAGCAGCCAUCAUUUAAAGAAAGCGUAAUAGCUCACUGGUCGAGUCGGCCUGCGCGGAAGAUGUAACGGGGCUAAACCAUGCACCGAAGCUGCGGCAGCGACACUGUGUGUUGUUGGGUAGGGGAGCGUUCUGUAAGCCUGCGAAGGUGGCCUGUGAGGGUUGCUGGAGGUAUCAGAAGUGCGAAUGCUGACAUAAGUAACGAUAAAGCGGGUGAAAAGCCCGCUCGCCGGAAGACCAAGGGUUCCUGUCCAACGUUAAUCGGGGCAGGGUGAGUCGACCCCUAAGGCGAGGCCGAAAGGCGUAGUCGAUGGGAAACGGGUUAAUAUUCCCGUACUUGGUGUUACUGCGAAGGGGGGACGGAGAAGGCUAUGUUGGCCGGGCGACGGUUGUCCCGGUUUAAGCGUGUAGGUGUGUGUUCCAGGUAAAUCCGGUUCACUUUAACACUGAGGCGUGAUGACGAGGCACUACGGUGCUGAAGCAACAAAUGCCCUGCUUCCAGGAAAAGCCUCUAAGCAUCAGGUAACAUCAAAUCGUACCCCAAACCGACACAGGUGGUCAGGUAGAGAAUACCAAGGCGCUUGAGAGAACUCGGGUGAAGGAACUAGGCAAAAUGGUGCCGUAACUUCGGGAGAAGGCACGCUGACACGUAGGUGAAGUGAUUUACUCAUGGAGCUGAAGUCAGUCGAAGAUACCAGCUGGCUGCAACUGUUUAUUAAAAACACAGCACUGUGCAAACACGAAAGUGGACGUAUACGGUGUGACGCCUGCCCGGUGCCGGAAGGUUAAUUGAUGGGGUCAGCGCAAGCGAAGCUCCUGAUCGAAGCCCCGGUAAACGGCGGCCGUAACUAUAACGGUCCUAAGGUAGCGAAAUUCCUUGUCGGGUAAGUUCCGACCUGCACGAAUGGCGUAAUGAUGGCCAGGCUGUCUCCACCCGAGACUCAGUGAAAUUGAACUCGCUGUGAAGAUGCAGUGUACCCGCGGCAAGACGGAAAGACCCCGUGAACCUUUACUAUAGCUUGACACUGAACAUUGAGCCUUGAUGUGUAGGAUAGGUGGGAGGCUUUGAAGUGUGGACGCCAGUCUGCAUGGAGCCGACCUUGAAAUACCACCCUUUAAUGUUUGAUGUUCUAACGUGGACCCGUAAUCCGGGUUGCGGACAGUGUCUGGUGGGUAGUUUGACUGGGGCGGUCUCCUCCUAAAGAGUAACGGAGGAGCACGAAGGUUGGCUAAUCCUGGUCGGACAUCAGGAGGUUAGUGCAAUGGCAUAAGCCAGCUUGACUGCGAGCGUGACGGCGCGAGCAGGUGCGAAAGCAGGUCAUAGUGAUCCGGUGGUUCUGAAUGGAAGGGCCAUCGCUCAACGGAUAAAAGGUACUCCGGGGAUAACAGGCUGAUACCGCCCAAGAGUUCAUAUCGACGGCGGUGUUUGGCACCUCGAUGUCGGCUCAUCACAUCCUGGGGCUGAAGUAGGUCCCAAGGGUAUGGCUGUUCGCCAUUUAAAGUGGUACGCGAGCUGGGUUUAGAACGUCGUGAGACAGUUCGGUCCCUAUCUGCCGUGGGCGCUGGAGAACUGAGGGGGGCUGCUCCUAGUACGAGAGGACCGGAGUGGACGCAUCACUGGUGUUCGGGUUGUCAUGCCAAUGGCACUGCCCGGUAGCUAAAUGCGGAAGAGAUAAGUGCUGAAAGCAUCUAAGCACGAAACUUGCCCCGAGAUGAGUUCUCCCUGAGACUUAGAGUCUCCUGAAGGAACGUUGAAGACGACGACGUUGAUAGGCCGGGUGUGUAAGCGCAGCGAUGCGUUGAGCUAACCGGUACUAAUGAACCGUGAGGCUUAACCUU